AGGGCACCACCAGGAGUGGAGCCUGUGGCUUAAUUUGACUCAACACGGGAAAACUCACCCGGCCCGGACACUGUAAGGAUUGACAGACUGAGAGCUCUUUCUUAAUUCAGUGGGUGGUGGUGCAUGGCCGUUCUUAGUUGGUGGAGCGAUUUGUCUGGUUAAUUCCGAUAACGAACGAGACUCUGGCCUAUUAAAUAGACGGUAUAUCGGAAAGUAUACCGCGCUUCUUAGGGGGACAAGCGGCGUUUAGCCGCAUGAAAUAGAGCAAUAACAGGUCUGUGAUGCCCUUAGAUGUCCGGGGCUGCACGCGCGCUACACUGAAAUAAUCAGCGUGCGAUAUACCUGGUUCGGAGGGACCGGGUAACCCAAGUAAAUUCUUUCGUGCUUGGGAUAGGGAAUUGCAAUUAUUUCCCUUAAACGAGGAAUUCCCAGCAAAUGCGGGUCAUAAGCUCGCGUUGAUUACGUCCCUGCCCUUUGUACACACCGCCCGUCGCUACUACCGAUUGGAUGACUUAGUGA
rnacentral:rRNA from 1 species